rnacentral:rRNA from 1 species
CCCUUAGAUGUCCUGGGCCGCACGCGCGCUACACUGACAUGUUCAACAAGCCUCCUAGUUCGACAGGAUUUGGGAAAUCUUUGAACGCAUGUCGUGAUAGGGAUAGAUCAUUGCAAUUAUUGAUCUUGAACGAGGAAUUCCUAGUAAACGCGAGUCAUCAGCUCGCAUUGAUUGCGUCCCUGCCCUUUGUACACACCGCCCGUCGCACCUACCGAUUGAAUGUUUCGGUGAAGAUUCCGGAUAGGACUUUUUUGAUUUAUUUCAAUUCUGUCUUAAAAGCUAUCUAAACCUCAACAUUUAGAGGAAGGUGAAGUCGUAACA